ACAAUCCAGCCUGGCCAAAGGUUAGCCACCAGGCCAGAACGGAACUUAAUGUGUAUUAAGGUAACAAGGUAUGCAAGGCUUAAGGAAAGGUGAAUGGUCAGCCAUAACGCAAGUGAAGGUUUUAAGCCCCGAAAUUUCUCUAGUUUGCAUUGGGCCAAAGGUUAGGUAGCUUGGAAGCCAGUAGCGCUACACGCGAUAAUGGCGAGUGUGCCAGCGACGUGCCGGGGUCGAAGGCCA
rfam:Phycisphaerae bacterium SM1_79 WOR1_30_36_15897, whole genome shotgun sequence.